UGAGCGGAACAAAACCCAGGUUCUGUGCGUCUCCAUACGGCUGUGCUGCCCACCGGUCCUUUUUCUCAACUGGACGCUCCAACGAGAGGAAUGGAAAAGAAAGAUUCAAUUAAGGACUCUAUAGCAUUGGGUUAAGCCUGUUCAAGUUCAGCAUACUACGCAGUAGCUGGUUUUUCUCAUACAAAUCAGAGUGCUGUGAGACUCUUCUGGUACAUAUCUGCCUUGUCGACUACUCACAUGUAUCCAUCAACGCAGGGUCCAAAGCAUCAUAUGAGCGAUCCACAGCAGCACGGAAGCUCUCGUUGCAAGCUCUGGCUCUUCCGAAGCGGUUGGUCCUCCACAUAGGUGAAUUAUCCCGACUUUGCUGUUAGAAGUAAGAACACAGCAUGGUAAAAGCAUUUCAUUCCCUGUAAUACAUGUAUCUCUUCAGUUCUGCAACACAACUAGGUUACUUAAGUGCCAAACCAUGUGUCUCUAGUGAAUAUUUUAAAAUGUAAACUCUGCAUUCCAAGUCACAUUGCAUCCAGGAGGUUAAUGACCAACAACUUUAAAUAAAAUAUACUAAGACAUUAAGACCUGAAA